rnacentral:rRNA from 1 species
UACAGAGGGGGCAAGCGUUGUUCGGAAUUACUGGGCGUAAAGGGCGCGUAGGCGGCCUGUUAAGUCGAACGUGAAAUCCCUGGGCUCAACCCAGGAACUGCGUCCGAUACUGGCAGGCUUGAAUCCGGGAGAGGGAUGUGGAAUUCCAGGUGUAGCGGUGAAAUGCGUAGAUAUCUGGAGGAACACCAAUGGCGAAGGCAGCACUCUGGGACGUGACUGACGCUGAGACGCGAAAGCGUGGGGAGCAAACAGG